UAGGGAAUUGUUCGCAAUGGGCGCAAGCCUGACGACGCAACGCCGCGUGGAGGAUGAAGAUCUUCGGGUCGUAAACUCCUGCCGAGUGGGAAGAAUAGUUUCCGGGCGAAUAUCCCGGGAGCCUGACGGUACCACUAAAGGAAGCCCCGGCUAACUCCGUGCCAGCAGCCGCGGUAAUACGGAGGGUGCAAGCGUUAUCCGGAUUCACUGGGUUUAAAGGGUGCGUAGGCGGGUUGGUAAGUCCGUGGUGAAAUCCCCAAGCUUAACUUGGGAACUGCCGUGGAUACUAUCAAUCUUGAAUAUCGUGGAGGUAAGCGGAAUAUGUCAUGUAGCGGUGAAAUGCUUAGAUAUGACAUAGAACACCAAUUGCGUAGGCAGCUUACUACACGAUCAUUGACGCUGAGGCACGAAAGCGUGGGGAGCAAA
rnacentral:rRNA from 1 species